rnacentral:rRNA from 1 species
GUGAGUAAUGUCUGGGAAACUGCCUGAUGGAGGGGGAUAACUACUGGAAACGGUAGCUAAUACCGCAUAACGUCGCAAGACCAAAGAGGGGGACCUUCGGGCCUCUUGCCAUCGGAUGUGCCCAGAUGGGAUUAGCUAGUAGGUGGGGUAACGGCUCACCUAGGCGACGAUCCCUAGCUGGUCUGAGAGGAUGACCAGCCACACUGGAACUGAGACACGGUCCAGACUCCUACGGGAGGCAGCAGUGGGGAAUAUUGCACAAUGGGCGCAAGCCUGAUGCAGCCAUGCCGCGUGUAUGAAGAAGGCCUUCGGGUUGUAAAGUACUUUCAGCGGGGAGGAAGGGAGUAAAGUUAAUACCUUUGCUCAUUGACGUUACCCGCAGAAGAAGCACCGGCUAACUCCGUGCCAGCAGCCGCGGUAAUACGGAGGGUGCAAGCGUUAAUCGGAAUUACUGGGCGUAAAGCGCACGCAGGCGGUUUGUUAAGUCAGAUGUGAAAUCCCCGGGCUCAACCUGGGAACUGCAUCUGAUACUGGCAAGCUUGAGUCUCGUAGAGGGGGGUAGAAUUCCAGGUGUAGCGGUGAAAUGCGUA